CCUACGGGGGGCUGCAGUCGAGAAUCAUUCACAAUGGGGGAAACCCUGAUGGUGCGACGCCGCGUGGGGGAAUGAAGGUCUUCGGAUUGUAAACCCCUGUCAUGUGGGAGCAAAUUAAAAAGAUAGUACCACAAGAGGAAGAGACGGCUAACUCUGGUCCAGCAGCCGCGGUAAUACAGAGGUCUCAAGCGUUGUUCGGAAUCACUGGGCGUAAAGUGUGCGUAGGCUGUUUCGUAAGUCGUGUGUGAAAGGCGCGGGCUCAACCCGCGGACGGCACAUGAUACUGCGAGACUAGAGUAAUGGAGGGGGAACCGGAAUUCGCGGUGUAGCAGUGAAAUGCGUAGAUAUCGAGAGGAACACUCGUGGCGAAGGCGGGUUCCUGGACAUUAACUGACGCUGAGGCACGAAGGCCAGGGGAGCGAAAGGGAUUAGAUACCCUGGUAGUC
rnacentral:rRNA from 1 species